rnacentral:lncRNA from 1 species
AAUAGUAAGCCUUUUGUUUUGUCAUAGUUUAUUUUAGAACCCGAAGCUUUUUCGUAUAAGGACAAAACUUUAAAAGUAUUUUCUACAGAUUUUUCAUUUUUAUUAAAUACCUGGGUGUCAUCUGCAAACAUACAUAAUUUGGUUUCUAUAAAGUUCCCUCCCCCUCCUGGUAAUUUUAAUCCUUCUAUUUUAAUGUCACCCCUUAUCGCACAUGCCAUGGGUUCAGCUUGUAUGAUAUACAACAGAGGCGCUAUUGGACACCCUUGCCUAGCGGAGCGAGUAAUAGAAAAGUAUCUUGAUACAAAUCCAUUAGUUUUGAUACACGUAGUAGCAUUAUAUAAUAGCAUCUUUAUCCAUGCUCUAAAUUUCCCGCCAAAUUCAAAUUUC